rnacentral:rRNA from 1 species
GUCCACGCUGUAAACGUUGGGCACUAGGUGUGGGAGGCAUUGACCCCUUCCGUGCCGCAGCUAACGCGAUAAGUGCCCCGCCUGGGGAGUACGGCCGCAAGGCUAAAACUCAAAGGAAUUGACGGGGGCCCGCACAAGCAGCGGAGCGUGUGGUUCAAUUCGAUGGUACGCGAAGAACCUUACCAGGGCUUGACAUGCUGGUAGUACCGAACCGAAAGGUGAGGGACCCUUCGGGGAGCCAGUGCAGGUGUUGCAUGGCUGUCGU